rnacentral:rRNA from 1 species
GGGGAUAACACUUAGAAAUAGGUGCUAAUACCGCAUAACAGUAGGAGACGCAUGUCUUUUACUUGAAAACUCCGGUGGUGUAAGAUGGACCCGCGUCUGAUUAGCUUGUUGGCGGGGUAACGGCUCACCAAGGCAACGAUCAGUAGCCGGCCUGAGAGGGUGAACGGCCACAUUGGGACUGAGACACGGCCCAAACUCCUACGGGAGGCAGCAGUGGGGAAUAUUGGACAAUGGGGGGAACCCUGAUCCAGCGACGCCGCGUGAGUGAAGAAGUAUUUCGGUAUGUAAAGCUCUAUCAGCAGGGAAGAAAGAAAUGACGGUACCUGACUAAGAAGCCCCGGCUAACUACGUGCCAGCAGCCGCGGUAAUACGUAGGGGGCAAGCGUUAUCCGGAUUUACUGGGUGUAAAGGGAGCGUAGACGGCGAUGCAAGUCUGAAGUGAAAGGCGGGGGCCCAACCCCCGGACUGCUUUGGAAACUGUAUGGCUGGAGUGCAGGAGAGGUAAGUGGAAUUCCUAGUGUAGCGGUGAAAUGCGUAGAUAUUAGGAGGAACACCAGUGGCGAAGGCGGCUUACUGGACUGUAACUGACGUUGAGGCUCGAAAGCGUGGGGAGCAAACAGGAUUAGAUACCCUGGUAGUCCACGCCGUAAACG